rnacentral:rRNA from 1 species
GAGUUUGAUCAUGGCUCAGAUUGAACGCUGGCGGCAUGCCUUACACAUGCAAGUCGAACGGCAGCACGGGAGCUUGCUCCUGGUGGCGAGUGGCGAACGGGUGAGUAAUGCAUCGGAACGUAUCCUGGAGUGGGGGAUAACGUAGCGAAAGUUACGCUAAUACCGCAUAUUCUGUGAGCAGGAAAGCGGGGGACCUUCGGGCCUCGCGCUCUUGGAGCGGCCGAUGUCGGAUUAGCUAGUUAGGUGAGGUAAAGGCUCACCAAGGCGACGAUCCGUAGCAGGUCUGAGAGGAUGAUCUGCCACACUGGAACUGAGACACGGUCCAGACUCCUAC